AACUGAUACUACCUGCGGGAACCUGCGGAGGGAUCAUUAUUGAAAUCCUUCCAAGGAUGUUGCUGGUCCUUAGGGACAUGUGCACUCCGCCUUUCUAUACACCUGUGAACUUAUUGUAGGUGCAUCUGUACCUAUGUUUUUAACACACCCCUUUAAAAUGUAUAAUGGAAUGUUGAUGGAUAAUAAUAACAAUACAACUUUCAACAAUGGAUCUCU
rnacentral:misc_RNA from 1 species